GGGCCCGUAGCCUAGCAGGAUAGGGCGCCGGCCUUCUAAGCCGGAGGUCGCGGGUUCGAAUCCCGUCCGGCCCGCCA
rnacentral:tRNA from 1 species